ACCUGGGAAUGCACAUCCACAGCACUCAGACAGGCUCCAGAGCAGACGUUCCAAAUGCGAAUGUGUCGGUCACUGGUACCUCCUCCUGUUGCCAGGAUAUUGGACUGCCAGGGACACCAUGCAACAGCCUUGACAGCACCUUGAUGUUGAGUGAAUGUCUGCAGGGGAACCCAGCCACUUUCUCCAGGACCACUAGGCCACACGUUGACAAUGUUAUCAUUGCCACCGCUUGCCAGAUGUCGUCCAUCUGGGGCCCAGCGCAGCCCACAUACUUCCUGGCUAUGGCCACUCAGUGUGGCCACAUGGUGUUCUGCUACUCGAACAUCGUGGUGGUGGAUGUGGCCAGAUCGUGAACCACUUGACAGGAUAUAGCUGUUCCAACUCAGGGAGCUUACUCGAGCAGAGUGGCUGGUCAUGUUUCGAAGCCGUUUCUGCUGCUGCACAUCCCAUAGCUGCACUCAGCAUUACUGGUGCCCACAGCCAGGUAGUUGCCCUCUUUGAUCCAGGCCACGGAUGAUAUGUAGUCCCCAGGCUGCUCCAUUUGCAACAGCUGCAGGAUGUCACCGGAACCAGCGUUCCAUAAGUACACACUGUUGUCCAGUGCCACAGCUAAU
rnacentral:lncRNA from 1 species